GGCUCUGUAGCUCAGUGGUAAGAGCGCCUACCUUUGGAAGGUCCGAAUGGUCGUGAGUUCGAAUCUCACCAGGGUCA